UACGGGGGGGGCAAGCGUUGUUCGGAAUUACUGGGCGUAAAGGGCCAGUAGGCGGCCAACUAAGUCCGACGUGAAAUCCCAAGGCUUAACCUUGGAACUGCGUCGGAUACUGGAUGGCUUGAAUUCGGGAGAGGGAUGCAGAAUUCCAGGUGUAGCGGUGAAAUGCGUAGAUAUCUGGAGGAACACCGGUGGCGAAGGCGGCAUCCUGGACCAACACUGACGCUGAGGAGCGAAAGCCAGGGGAGCAAACGGG
rnacentral:rRNA from 1 species